GAGGGUGCAAACGUUGUUCGGAAUUACUGGGCGUAAAGCGCGUGUAGGCGGCCCUGCAAGUCGGAUGUGAAAUCCCACGGCUCAACCGUGGAAGUGCAUUCGAAACUGCAGGGCUAGAGUCCUGGAGAGGAAGGUGGAAUGCUUGGUGUAGAGGUGAAAUUCGUAGAUAUCAAGCGGAACACCGGUGGCGAAGGCGGCCUUCUGGACAGUGACUGACGCUGAGACGCGAAAGCGUGGGGAGCAAACAGG
rnacentral:rRNA from 1 species